rnacentral:tRNA from 1 species
UCCCUGGUGGCUCAGAUGGUAAAGAAUCUGCCUAUAAUGCAGGUGACCCAGGUUCAAACUCUGGUUUGGGAA